AGUGAACGCUGGCGGUGGGCCUAACACAUGCAAGUCGAACGGCAGCACAGUAAGAGCUUGCUCUUACGGGUGGCGAGUGGCGGACGGGUGAGGAAUACAUCGGAAUCUACUUUUUCGUGGGGGAUAACGUAGGGAAACUUACGCUAAUACCGCAUACGACCUACGGGUGAAAGCAGUGGAUCUUCGGACCUUGCGCGACUGAAUGAGCCGAUGUCGGAUUAGCUAGUUGGCUGGGUAAAGGCCCACCAAGGCAACGAUCCGUAGCUGGUCUGAGAGGAUGAUCAGCCACACUGGAACUGAGACACGGUCCAGACUCCUACGGGAGGCAGCAGUGGGGAAUCUUGGACAAUGGGCGCAAGCCUGAUGCAGCCAUACCGCGUGAGUGAAGAAGGCCUUCGGGUUGUAAAGCCCUUUUGUUGGGAAAGAAAAACAGCAGGUGAAACUCCGGCUGUUUUGACGGUACCCAAAGAGUAAGCACCGGCUAACUUCGUG
rnacentral:rRNA from 1 species